rnacentral:rRNA from 1 species
CUUAACUGUGGACUUGCCUUUGAUACUGUUAUUCUUGAGUGCAGUUGAAGUGGGCGGAAUAUAGCAUGUAGCGGUGAAAUGCAUAGAUAUGCUAUAGAACACCGAUUGCGAAGGCAGCUCGCUAAGCUGUAACUGACGCUGAGGCACGAAAGCUUGGAUAGCAAACAGGAUUAGAUACCCUGGUAGUCCAGGCUGUAAACGAUGAACACUCGCUGUUGGCAAUACAUCGUCAGCGGCUGAGCGAAAGCGUUAAGUGUUCCACCUGGGAAGUACGAUCGCAAGGUUGAAACUCAAAGGAAUUGACGGGGGCCCGCACAAGCGGAGGAGCAUGUGGUUUAAUUCGAUGAUACGCGAGGAACCUUACCUGGGCUUAAAUGCAUAUUGACGUACUGUGAAAGCAGUAUUCCUUCGGGCAA